GUGGGCUCUUGACUUCUCUCAUGGCCUCACGGCCGCAAUCUUUCUGCACGUCACCCUCCUUCUCCUCUUACUCCCAGGAAUAAAAUCAUCUUUAGUUCCUCCAGCUCCACACUCCAGAGAGAGCUGAGCUGGUCUGACCAGCAGAACCUGGAAAUGUUCCCUACUCUUCUCUUAUGUGAUACCAUCCUGGGUUUUUAGCCAGACACCUAGCUGCCUAGACAGGGACUAACGUUUCCCUUCCUUGCACCUACGAGUGGCCAUGUGCCCGCGUCUGGGCCAGUGAUUCAUAGAAGGAAAAGUUACCUGUGUGACCUCCCAGGCUGUGCUUUUAAAAGGAAGAGGCAUGUCAUCCGGGUCCUUUUUCCUCUCCCCCCUGGCAGAAGGUGGAAACACUGUGAGCCACCUUGCCCGUGAGGGUGGGGACAGGACCGUAGUCGGCAGAGCAGCAAGAUAGAAAGAGCCUGGGCCCCUGACACCUUUGCAAGACUGGAGCUGCCAGGGCAUCUUAGAUGAGAAACAAGUAAACAUACAUUUAUUUCAGCCACGUUGUUGGGAUUUGGUUUUGGAGCUGUGCUGCUCUUACAUUUAGAAAAUCGGUAUUGCCUUCAAGCCUGCUGCCUCAACCAGAAAACCUAUGGUUGGACUCCGUUGGGUUCAUGCUCACUGUUGACCCCAUCAAUGGCCACCUUUGCACAGAGCCUAGCUUAACACUGCUUCCUGGGGUAGGGGGGUAGUGGGAAGGGCGGUUUCAGCCAUGAAGGGACCUCGAACCACAGGGCGGGCAUCUAAACGGGAAACUUGGGCGGCAUUAGUCACACAUUGCAGGAUGUCACUAAGUGACUCAAAAAGGAUGGCAACUGUGCUUGUUUGCACAUCUUUGAAGUUCCCAGAUGGCCAGCAGGAUGAGACACCAUCAAGUUGGACAUCAAAAAUGCAGGCCCAGCGGUGCUGGCACCUGGGGACCUCAACAACAAGAGUGGGUGGCAUCAUUAAUAAGAGGCCUCACAUGUGCCUCUUUCUGUCCUGUGACUCAACAUCGGAUACCCUGGCAGAAGUCCUCUCAGACCAAGGAAGGAGCACACUGCUUGGCCAGGUGCUGUCCCAAGCAGCGCUGGAAAAUUCUUGACAUCAUCCAGUGGCUUAUCCUGGAAAUGGUGUCGAUGGAAGUGGAGAGCGGGGCGAGCAGGAGGCUGCGGACCAGAAGCUGAGGGCACAGAUUCUGAAAAAGAUUACUGACAACCCCAGUUGUGAGGCAGCCGACUGGAAAGGGCCGGUUCUAGAGCAGAAAGCCUUCCUGCCGGCAGAGCAAGGAUAAAAACAAAGUCCUGGCAAAUACAAUCAGGCAUCGCCUACAGCCUCUUCCCUCAGCAGUAACACUCACGUGUUGUGUGUGUUAUUUUAUAUCACCCAAACCAUGUGCACAUACGCCUUUGUGUCCUUUAUUUCACUGUGUAUCCCAUCUUGAAAAUUGUCCCUUGUCAUUAGAACUCAUCCACAAACAUCAUUUUUGAGAACUAUAUAGUAUUUGUUCACUCUACCGUAUUUGCUUAUGUCCUUAUUGCUGGAUAUUUCCCCCAAGUUUUCAGUAUUACAAAGAACUCAGGAAUAAACCACUUUGUCUCCUACCUGUGGUUUUCCAGAGAUCUCUCUCUCUCUCUUAGCCUUCUCUUAUAGAUUUUGGCAGAGAAAACACUCAUGUUGUUAUGAAAGGAGAGGUUAACAAGCUGGUAAAAUGCACAUAUCGUAUAGGAGAUUGUAAGCAAUGCUUAUUUUCUUCUUUGGACUUGCUGUGAGGACUAUCCUAGGUUUAUAGAUAAGGAAGCUGAGGCUCAAAGAAGUUAAGUGAUUUGCUCAAGGUCACUGAGCCAGGAUUUCAACUCAGGCAAUUAAACUCCAGAGCCCCCACUUCUUUUCUUGUUAGUGUUUAUUCAUUUUGAGAGACAGAGAGUGUGUGUGUGUGUGUGUGUGUGUGUGUGUGUGUGCGUGCAUACACAUGGAGGAGGGGCAAAGGAAGGCCAAGAGAAAGAGAAUCCCAAGCAGGCUCCAUGCUUAGCGAGGAGCCUGACCUAGGACUCCGUCCACGACUGUGAGCUCAUGACUCGAGCUGAAUGAAGAGUCGGAUGCUUAACUGACUGAACCACCCAGGCACCGCCCCCACCCAGAGCCCACAUUUUAACUUCUUUGCUUUACCGCCUCAAAUAAACUGUGGUUCGUAAGCAACAAGAUGAUGCUGUAGAAGAACGCAAGGUAAGAAAGAUUAAGAGGACAAAAGCAGCUUACAAAGUGAUACAUUCAGUCUGGUUCUUCUUCUUCUUCUUCUUCUUUUUUUUUUUUUUUUUUUUUUACUUUGUAGGAUAUAAAAUGCACAGGACGAAGAAUGGGAAAAUGCCCGUCAGGAUGGGGGGAUUAUUUGUGAUUUUAAUUUUCUUUGUACUUUUCCCGAUGUUCUGUAAUGACCACUUCUUGAAGUCAGAAAACUUUAAAGUAUCAGAAUCUUGUAUUCAUUCAGUUGACAGGAAACUACCAUGGAUGGAGGCGAACGCGGGCUCUAGGCUGGGGGCAUGAGGAGGUAGGGGGAAAGCAGGAAGGCUUCAGGGAAGAGGGGGUGCUUCAAUCAGGCCUUGAAAUGGUCUGCAGUGAACACGGAAGAAAACGGGGCCCUAAUAAUGAUUUUCUUCUGCUUCCGAACAUACCCCCUUUCUUCUGGCAUCCUACCACCGUAUUCUACCUCCUGGAAUCUCUGUGUGUCUGUGUGACCAAGUCUGCGUUAGUUCUCGUGGGGAGGGGACUUCCAGGACGCCAUAGAGUGAUUUCCGCAAUUACCUGGAAGUGGGGGGAGCUCCCCUGGCCCUCAAGAAAGAGCGUUUUCUCCUGCUCAGCUUACGGUGGUGUCUGUGACACCCGUGGUUCAGGGUGGUGAGUUGGGCUACGGUGGACAAGGCCUGUGGUUUGCAGAAGCCACUUUUAGAAAUGUCUGCAAUUCUCUGUUCCUGGAAAUGACUGCUCUCUGCGCAGAGGUGGGACGGCUUAAAUGUCAAAAAGCAGUCCCCACCAUGGGGACUCUGAGCCCACAGAAAGAGACUCCCCCCCAACAGGGGCCCAUGGGGUGAUCCUUCUGAGGCUGGCCCUGCUAUGCGAGUCGGUUUCACAGCUGGCUGAGCACGUCCGGUGCACAGAGUUCCCAGAAGAGCAUCUCAGCGACUCUGGACCCCACGGAGGACUUUAGGCAUCGUUCACAGAGAUGACACCAAACUGUAUCUGGCAAGUUCCUUGAACAAAACAUCACCUCUAGCCAAACCAGAGGCAUGUGUCUCUCCGGGAGGAAAGCAGUUCCCACCUCCCAGGUCUUGAAAAACUUCCCCUCAUGUCAGCUGUGGCCUAUCACAUGCCUCCCAGUCAUUUCCUUCUGGAAAUGUGUAAGGAAGCUGGCUUUGGAAUCUCCCAGAACUCGGGGAAAGAGGCCUAUGCCCCAUUCUUCUCUGGCGCUUUGCCGUCACCCAUGUACGGGUAAACUUAAAGCUGAGCUUUCCCAGUAGCCGAAAAGGAAAGUCUUCCUUUUUGCAGAGCAUUUCCGGGAGAAACCUAGUGCUUGUGAAUUCUUCCUCCGUCCCUUUGACACAUAGGAACACAUGUAUACAGUACGUGUGGGAAUACAUAGACGCACAAGUGCAAGUAUUUGUACACUUCUCGCC
rnacentral:lncRNA from 1 species